rnacentral:lncRNA from 1 species
GGGGGACAAUAGGCUCCUCCAUGAGUGGGGACAGCCUGAGGACACUGCUCACCCAGUCUGUGGCUCCCCUACCCGGUGCCACCCACUGGUGUCCCACUGCUGUCCUUGAGGGGACAGAGAUGCUGUGACAACCAGGAUUGGGCCAAUGACAGCCCCAGCACAGCCCCACGGGGGUGACAUGGGUGACAACAACCAGCCAAUCUCACCAGCUUUGGCCACAUUUGGGGUGCAAGGAUGGUGCCACCAUCACCCUGGAGGCCCUGAGGGGACCCUGCCACCACACACUCCAUUGUGCCCAGAGGGUCCCACACAGCACGAGGUGACACCGGGGAGGAUGAUGCCAAUGGAGAAUCCAGAUUUCCAUGCUUCCAGAGAAAAGCAGCUGAGCAGAGAGGCUGUGGCAGUGGAGCAUCCCCAUGGGGAGGCUGAGGGGAAGCAGCCCCAGGAGCAGAGCAGGGUGUGCCUGGAGCUGAACCCCCCUGGAUCCAUCCAGCAGGAAGGGUUGGAGUCUCUGUGGCUGGGCAGGAGGUGGGACAAGGCAUCUCUUGCACAAAUAGCCCUUGGAAAGGAAUCUCCCCCUGUCAGAGUCAGGAGCAAACCUGGGGCAAAGAGCCUGAAGCACCCUCGGGGCAGGCAGGAGGGUUUUGACCAGCAGCCACCAUCAGCAUCAACCUCAGCUGUCCCAAAGGAGAAAAAAAAGUCCCAGUCCAGCAGCCCAGUGGUGACCUCCAGCAGCCGAAUGUAACUCAUGGCAGUUGGGAACAGGAAAGAUUUUAAAAUAUAUAUAAUAUAUACUUUUAUUAUUCACCCGUUAAAUCCAUUAUAUGCCAAUCAUGAUUUAGUUUCAGCAGUUACAUUCCCUUGAUCAUGUCUUUAGGAGGAUGCAGUUAAAUCAAACAAGGAGGAGGCUGGCAGCAGCAGGGGGGCUCUGGUGCCCCUCUCUCCUGGCGUGGCUCCGGCUUUGGCAGAAAGGAUGAGGGCAGCACCUCCUCAGGCCCGGCUCCUCCACGCUCUCCUGGCAAGGGCUCCCUUACUGCAGCACCAAUCCAACCUGGAAAUGGGGAUCAGGACAGAAAUUGGGCUCAUCAGGACAGAAAUUGGGCUCGGGAGGUGCCCUCUGCUCCGUACUCAGCUCGGUGCUGCCUGUGUUGGUUUCUGUCACACACAUCUUUUAUGGAAAAUCCAUAUGGAAAUCCCACAGUGCUGGAUUAAAAAAUGCUGCUCUGGAUGUGGCACUUUAGCCAGCCCUAAGUUCCUCCAGCUGGUUUAUCUGCAGCUCCAGCAAUUCCUUCCCCUUUAGCAUCUCAAAUCAUCAAACCACAGCCCCAUCUACAGCACUGUCAUGCACAUCUUUUAUGAAAAAUCCUUUCCUUAGGAUUUUUCCUCCUGAGAAGCUGAAAAGCCUCAGGAGCAAAAUGUAAACAUUGAUUAUCUGCUGCUGUGGAAUGCAACAGGUGCAUCUGUGAUUGGUCUCAUGUUAGAUAUUUGAAAUUAAUGACUCUCUGUCCAAGCCACAAUCCUUUGUUAUCAUUCUUUCCUUUUCUAUUCUUAGCCGGCCUUCUGAUGAAAACUUUCUUCUAUUCUUUUAGUAUAGUUUUAAUAGAAUAUAUAUCAUAAAAUAAUAAAUCAAGCCUUCUGAAACA